ACAGAUUCGCAACAACAUAAACAUGCUUUUAGUGUUCAGUCCGGCUAUUCAACCCUAGCCAGAAUAAUAGCAGACACAAACUUAUUAAUUUCCGGUUCAGGGUUCCCAACGUCAACUUCGGAGCACUCAUCUAAACCCCCAGUGUCAUGCACAUGAAUUAGGAAUAUUGCCAUAAUCCCUGAAUCAGUAGCAGAAGUAACCAGGGGUACACAUAGCGGCCUCUCAAUAUUUAGUGGAACUAUCCGCACCAAGCUAUUUCCCUGCUGCUGGAACGCUUGAUUCAAAAGAAACGGCAGCAUCACGGCGACUGGUUGUAUCUCACGCGUGAUUGUGUGAUCCGUACGGAGCGUUGCAUUGCAGUCCAGGACAGUGAUUA
rnacentral:lncRNA from 1 species